GACAGAGGUUGCAAACGUUGUUCGGAAUUACUGGGCAUAAAGCGCACGUAGGUGGUCCGCUAAGUCGGAUGUGAAAUUCCCAGGCUUAACCUGGGAACUGCAUCCGAUACUGGAUGGCUUGAAUCCGGGAGAGGGAUGCGGAAUUCCAGGUGUAGCGGUGAAAUGCGUAGAUAUCGGGAGGAACAUCAGUGGCGAAGGCGGCUGCCUGGCCCAAUACUGACACUCAGGUGCGACAGCGUGGGGAGCAAACAGG
rnacentral:rRNA from 1 species